GCUCCGCCGAUUGAACGGCAGUGACCGGUGGAGUUUUCCUUUGACUCCUCCGUUUUUCCGUAGGUGCUCGGGAGAAGGCGAGAGAGAGAGCCUGGGCUAUGAUAUCGAAACUGCCGCGACUUCUUUUCCGGACUGUCCGCUCCGUUCGCUUCGCCGCGGGGGCAGCUGGGUCCUCUAUUCCCCAGAUCCCCUGGGCGCCCCCAGAGGUGGGACGGGGAUCUCUGUUCUCCGGCGCCGUUAUGGCUGCACAGGGAUCCUCCCCUCUCCGGGCGGAUUCCCAAAGGCUGGAAGCGAAGGAGGAGGAGGAGGAAGCUGGGCGAGGAGGAAUAGGAGGAAAAGUUCAGCCUCCAACUGAGAGCAAGCAGUUGUCACAACAGAUCGAUGGAAAACAAACUGUGGAGUGCAAGAAAAAAGAACGGAAAAAGCAAAAGAAGAAACCAUACAGCUCUAACAAUGCAAUUGAUAACUUGAUGGCGGAAAUGCCAUUUGCUGGAGCAGAUAUUGAACUUGAACUUAGCACCUCAAGCAAAUCUAAACCAUCUGUUAAAAAGAAGAGAAAGAGAAUAGCUGGAAAAGGGAGUGAAGAAGACAGUACAAUAAUGAAGAAAAAGAAAAACCAAGACAGACCCAAUUAUUUCAUUUCUGUUCCAAUCACAAAUCCAAAGAUUAUAGAUGGCAUUCAGACUCUUCAGAACACAAUUAUACAAAAAGAUAAUAGGCUCUCCAAAGCAAUGAUUCAUUAUGGCUCUUUCCAUGUCACCCUCUUAGUGAUGCAUCUGUCCAAUGAAGAAGCAAUUAGCAAUGGUGUUGGUGCUUUCUUGGAGAGUGGAGGUUUAAUUGAAGAAUUACUGCAAGGAAAGCCUUUGAAUUUAUCUUUUCAAGGUACUGAUCACUUCAGAAAUCAAAUUGGAUUUGUAAAGUUGACUGAGGGUGAUAACACAACCACGCUUUUAAAGAUAGCAGAAAUUGUGAAGAAGAUGUUUCAAGAAAAAGGUAUCGUCAUAGAUGACAAAGUUUUAAAGCCUCACUUGACCUUCAUGAAGUUGUCAAAAUCCCCAAAACUACAAAAGCAGGGAGUGAAGAGAAUUGAUUCAAGCAUGUUUGCAAAUUUCAAAAGUCAUCAUUUUGGAGAUGAACUUAUGAACCGUCUAGAUCUUUGCUCAAUGUUGAAAAAAAAGCAGCCCAAUGGCUACUAUCAUUGUGAAUCCUCAAUUGUAGUGGGUGCCCUCGGGAUGCAUGCAACUACCACUUCUCCAAUUGCGAGCCAGCCUGGAGUUCUGAUCCAACCUAUCUGAAAGUUCCCCAAGUUCAGAAAGACUGUCCAUGAACAAGUGCCCCCCAGAUAUGUGCACCUCCCUUGAUGACACUUGGAAUUGGAAUGAAUCAUACGUGAAAUGCAAAAUGAGUUUGGAAUCACCUGGUGCAACUGGGCAAUAAAAGAAAGAAAAGUGUAGACAGAUUUUAUUCCAUUAACAGAGGGGUGCUCUGCAGAAAUCAGCAGGUAAGUCAUUUUGUCACUGACUAAAGAGGACUCCUGGGAAUUUUUAUUAAAGGGUUAGCAAUAGGAGGGCAGGCUUAAUGUUUUUACCAUACUAUGUAGCAUUAAUGAAAAUGUUUAGAACUGUCUAAAUAAGACAUCACUGGAAUACAAAGUAGGCUGUGAUAUGGUUGGUAAAGGAAGAAAUAGUAUAUGGGGGCUGUGUAUGUUUUGAAAAUGAAUGAAAAGCACUUCAGAGCUCAUGGAUCUCUUCCAAAGCAUGCUUAGCUUUGAUACACACGCACACACACACACACACACACACACACACACUCUUAUACUAGACACAGUUUGAAAAUGUUGCCACCAACAUUCUUAACAACUGUUACUAACCUAACCUAUAGUGAUUCACUUAACAACUGUGGCAAGAAAGGUUGUAAGAAAUGGGGCAAGCUCACAAUAAUUCUCACUUAGCAACAGAAAUUUGGGGUUCAUUUGUGGCCAUAAGUUGAAGACUACCUGUAUUAUAUUAUAACAGAGCUCCCCAACUCCCCAGUUGGGCCAUUUGGAACUGAGCUACAAAAGUGGGGAGUGCGCACAUGCGCUCAUCCCUACUUGCACGAGCAGUAAGCAAGCAGGUACAUUUCCCCAUCACUUGUGUGGAACCAUCCCUCUCUCCCUUCCCCACUGGGCCCCACUGGGAGGGAGAGGUGGUUAGGGGCUCAUUGAAAUAACCUCCUAUGUUCCUCUCAUUUCAGAACACCAUCUUCGGUUGAAGGGGUAGGGAGCAGCCUGUCAGCCCUGGAGGCCAUCUUUUUCUUUGGAUCUUCAAGGCUGUCACACUUAGUGCUGUGGGAAUGUGGGAGGGGGGUAAUAUGGAAUGGGUAGAGAUAUAUAGCCAUAACAACAUUCUUUUGUCUGGGAAUCAAGGACGUUCAGCCUGCACCUGGAGAGGUGUGACUGGGGGACAUCUCCAAUUGGGAUGGUGGAUUGAUUGGACCAUGUGAUGGACAUGUGGGUGCAGGGGAAGGAAGUUUGACUUUCCUUUGGAUGGGGAAAACCCAGGAGCUUUCAGAUUCGGGUUUUCCCAGAUGUGCCGAUAUGACAUCUCUAAUAAAAUGGAACUUUGAGGAACUGCUGGCCUCGGAGUCUUAUUGGUUGGGGGUGUUACUUGGAACCCUGAAGGCACGAAGGUUGGGGAACUCUGUAUUAUAACCAACAAUCUUAAUUUUGAAGACAGUAUUCCCUGGGGUCUUUUUGUCCCUCUAUUAUUAUAUAUAAACUCUCCAGUUUAAAAGCUCACUGGAGAUUAACUCCUCUCUGUUUACCCAGACUCUGAAUUACUUUUGUUGUGUUUCUCAUAAAAUGAUUGGGUGCUGUGUUCUUUAAUUAGCUUAUAUACUAGUUUAAUCAUAUGCCAACUUUAUUGUGAAGACAUCUGCCUUGAAAAAAAGAAUCUAAAUAUUUGGAUAAAAUAUAGAAGUAAAAUGUUGCAGACAAAUUAAUAGGUAUUUUUAAGGAGAGUGUAAAACAAAAAAUAAACAUAUAGACUGAUUUUAGAGAUUUGGCUCCCAUCUUUGUUACCCUUUAGGUAUUUAGGUAAGUCUUUGUUGUCUUCUGGUUUUAUCAGCUUGUCUUUGUUGAAAUGGACACCUGUUGAGACUGUAAACAACAAUUUGAAUCUGUGUUUUGGAUUUAUGGCUCUGAAAUGGCUUGUAUUUAGAAUCUUGCAUAAUUUUUUUGUUUAGAGUCUUAAUAUUCUUACCCAGGAUACCCAGGUAUAUUCCAUCCAGAUUUUAUAUAUAUAUAUAUUAAAAUUUAUAUAAAGCAGAUUGUUCUGAAAAUUUCCUAAUUUAGUUUUUUUUUUCCUUUUAUCAGUUUGAUAUACAGAGAAAAUAGAGCAAGUCCUGUACUGAUGAGAAUCUCUUGAAUAGAUCUCUCCAGAUCUUUUUCCAUCAUUUUCCUUCAAACUGUAUGGGGCAAACCCUCUUCUUCCCUAGCAGAAAUAGACCCAUAGCCAUGUCAGAAUUUAUAGAAUUGCACUAUUAGAAAGUAAAAGUGUCCAUGACACCUUCUAGCCAGACCACACGCUGUAAUCUUCGCCAUACUUGACUUCAGGAAACCCCAGGUCACAAAACAAAGAACCGCCUGAGCUUUCAGCCAAGUUUGACCCUUUGGAUGAAAUUGAUAGGAAGUUGGCAGACAUUAGUAACUUAAUCAUUAUAAAUGAACGAUCAUUAUAACCCCCCUCUUUUACAUACAUAAAGUGGUUGAGAUUGGCCAAAGGUUGCAGCCCAUUCAGGUAUCAUGACUAUUAAUAAAAAGAUCCGUUGAGUGACUGCCACCCCUCAGCCCAGCCUCAAUGUUAAUUAAGCAGGAAGCCAGUUGAUAUGGUAAAUGAGUGGGAAAAUGUCACAAGCUAACCACCAAAUGCCCCCUGUUGGCCACCCAGUUAAUUGCCGUUUCCAAUAAUCCUACAGGGUGGGCUCUGUUUCCAAACAGAGAGCCUGAACAGAACAGAGGAAAUGUAUAAAGGUAAUCACUUGACAACUAUAACUUUGUUGCAAAUUUUGAUUGCUGUACUUCACAUUAUGCUUGGAAAUAAACUUUGCCUCUGCUCCAAG